rnacentral:lncRNA from 1 species
AAAGAUCAAUGUAGGAGGGUAGGGACUCUUCGCGCAAAUAUCCCUUUUCCGUAGAAAACACGUGAAUCCUGAGGACACCGGGUCAGGUUGAAGCGGGUCCUCGGGUCAUGCCAUUAUACGGCACCGUUCUGGAGCCACUAAAGCAGGCCCUAAACGGUGUCGUUUCAUGCCCUCUAUAAAAGCAAAACAAACCUUAAAAUGAACACUUAAGCAUUCUAAAAAAUCAAAAAAAGAAAAAAGAACCCUAAGCCUCUAUUUCACUUUCGGCCGCAUCAUAAGCACACCGCCCCCAACCACCAUUUCGCCACCGACCCUAUUUGAAUCCCCAUCCGAGCUUCGACUUCAACGAAGCAAACAAGGAUUCGAAGGCCACUAAAAGGUAAGUCCCUUCCCUUUUAUAAAUUUUUACAUGCAGUGGAAAAAGAUUGAGGAAAUAGAAACAAAAAUCAACGAAGAACGGGAUCUAAAAUCACCUUUAAAAAACUGAUUUCGAAUUGAUUUCUAUUCUUUCAAUAUAUGCCCCCCUUUUCUUUGUUUACAAUCGGCCUUAUAUAGCCGAAACAAAAAAAUACGAAAUUACAAUAUCAUUUUUUUUCGUUAUUUCUCUGUUGUUUUUGUCGUUUUUUUUUUCUUCUCGCAGGUUCUACUGAUGCGGGGAGUGUCGUACGGAGGAGAAGCCAUUCAGUGACGUGGAGGCCUGCUUCCAGGCUAGCAAGUUGCAGCGCAAAGGGAAAGAAGCUCUUAGGGUUUCUGCUCACAAAUGUCUUGGGCCGUUUGGGCCUUAUAUUUCUUUUGGGCUAGGUCUAGCUAGGGUUUGCUGAAUGGUUUUUAGGUUUUAGGCUGGCAUUUGGGUUAUUCGUUUGGUUUGACGUUGGGUUUAUUUUUGGUUUGGGCCUCAAGACUUGGGUUUGUAUCUAAAUAUAUCACAUAAACAAUACUAAAUGCACUACAAUUAUUUAUCAUGAUUUUUGUCAUCAAUUAUGAAUUAGUGUCGAGUUGACUUAUGAUACAAACUCAAUAAAUAUUAUUGAUACAUACAAUUGAUAUAUACAAUUGAAAGAAAUAAUAAAUUGUGCAUAUUAAAAUAAAUAUAUAUAAAAUACUUUAGUUAAGUAGUAAAUUUAUUUUUUUAAUAAUCUAAUUAUCGUGAAUUUAAAUUUUACUAUAUGUAUAUUUUAAAUUUUUUUUUAAAAAAAAUUAAAUACUCUCAAAUAAUAAAAUAUUUUUUAAUUACAAAAUAAUAUUUUUAUAAUUUUCCUGUCGAGUUGGCAAUUUAGUUGAAAGGUGAGAUCAACUCAAUUAAAAACUUAAUAAAUAAUAUAAAUAAAAAACCAAAAGAAUUAAUCAUUUGUAGCAAAUAUUUUUAUUGGAUAAAAAAACUUGAAUUUUAAAUUUGUCGAGUAAAAAGCUCCAUAAUUCAACUAAUGCAAUGAUUGGUAAAUUUAAAAAUUAAAUGCGAAAAAAAUAAGUGUUGAAAACUAAGUAUCUAAGUGUUAAAUUUAAGUUAUAAAAUAUGUUUAUAUAAUAUUUAAAAUUAAAUAGUAAAAAUAAUUAGACUGUUUGAUAAAGAAUAAAAUAAUCUUAAAUAAAAUAAAAAUAAUUAAAUUUAUUCUAUAAUAAGUAAGUCUGCAAAAAAUUCUAUCUAAUAUGUUUCAGUUCAUUGAAUUUUUUCAAUAUUUUAUCAAAUAGGGCGUAAGUAUAUCAAAAUUAAUUUUUGUAAAGUUAAAAUAACAUUUAAUAACCAAUCAUACUACAAAUUUAAUGACAAACUUACAUGAAUUUCAAGCUGAUUCACAUAAAAUUUAAAUCUCCAUCCUUAUGUUUGUAAACACUUUCUCUUACCCAUUUGUAAUGUAAAAUAUAUAUAUAUAUAUAUAUAUAUAUAUAUUUGACUCAAUUAAAUAAUAUAUAAUAUUAAUAUCCAAGAAAAAAAAAACCAAUGCCAAUAAAUAAGUAACUUAAUUCUCAAAUCUACCUUCCAGUAUCUCAAAAUUUUGUUUUUUUCCCUUUUUCUUUCCCUUCCUUUUGAUAAACUCAAGUGAAAAUUUUCCAAUACAACAAAAAAUUAAUUAAAAAGAACUAGGAAGAAUUCAGAAUUAAUGUACAAACCAAAUACAAAGUUCAUCAAAGCAGAGUAAUGAGAAUGAAAAGAAGAAGAGCAGCAAUGAAAGAGUACUUAAGAGCAGCUAAAAGAAUAGCCCCUGAGAUAAAAAACAACUGCCACAAAACCUGAACACUGGCCCACGUUAGCAGACCCGUCAAUCCAAGGGCUACGAUGUUAUCAGGAUCUGGGUCCAACAAAUCACCCAAUCUGAAAUUAAACAUCGACCGUCGUUCAUUCCUCGAUUCCCCUCCGUCAUUCCCGUUAAAGGACCCCUCCGGUUGAACCUUUGAUUGUUUUUCUUCUCCUUGUGGUUUCUUGUUGGGUUGUUUGGUUAAGUCAUUCUUGUUCCCGUUUUGAGCAAAGAGAAAUGAGCGUGAAGGAUGUUUUGGGAUAUGGAUUUGGGGUUUCAGAAAUACAGGAGCAUAUUUGAAAUUAAAAUAUAGAUUUGGAGAAGCUGAUGGGAUUUGGGGAUGUAUACAAGAGACCAACCCUAACAUUUCCUCCCCCCCUUUUUUUUUCUUAGAUUUUGCCUGGUUUUCUUGGGAGAAACAGAAGCGAAGGUAAUUAUGUAAUUAUAAAAUAAAAUAACAAAUAAACAAAAAGACAAAAGUAUCCUCGAAGUACAAAAGAAGAUCCGACAAAAGUCGAACCCACGACCUUUUGAUCCGAAGUCAAACGCGCUAAUCCACUGCGCUAUGCGGUCAUGAGAUUCGGUGAAUAUAAAAAAUAUACCAAUUUUUAAAGUUGAAAAUUUCCCAAUAACCUCGACUAUUUUCUGUUUUAAAUUUAACACUUUUUUGUGUCCUGUUUGAAUUUAUUGAGAUUCAAAAUAUUUUUUUUUAAAUCGAAAGAAUGAAAGGGUAAGGAAAUAAGCCAUAUAAGUCCGAAGUAAUUAGCUGAAUCAAAGUGAUUUAAGGAUAAUUGGGUUAGUUAAAUAAGGCUUUGAGGAAAGUCCAAUCCUGAAAGUAUUAUUAUAAGCCCCAAAGCCAUAUGACUUAUAGUAAUUAACCAACAUUUUCUUUGUAGGCCAUUUAUGAAAGGAUCAGCUUAAGCAUGAUUGAAAAAGUUGUAUUAUAGUCUACUCAACCAUUAUGCUAAAACACUCGUGUUUAGCUCUUCAAUAGUUAUUAGUUCAGGUUUUAUUGUGGCACAAUUUCUACCGCUUAACUCUUAUAAAAAAAAGUUGUUGUAUUAUAGUUUAAAGUGUAUGGUAAAUAGAGUAAUUUUUAAGGUAUUAUGAAUAAAUUAGUUCAUAAAUUAUAUCAUCAAUUCACUUAAUCGAUUUCUAUAAAAGAUCUGUAAUAGAUGAUUCAAAUAGAAUUCACAGAUAACUUUAAAUAAAGAGACAUUACAAAAAAUAUCUAAUUAAAAGUGACUCAUGAAUUGUAUUUAAUAAAAAAAUUAUUACCAGAUCAUCCAAUGUUCCGUCACAUAUCAUUGUUAAAAUAGGAGUAUAAUAAUAUAAGCUUUAACCUAUACUUUUAUCUUAUUAUAUCAACUAUAUAUAUACACAACAUCCAACAAAAACGCAUAAUAUCAUUUUUAUUAGUUGAUAUUAUUUUCUAAGAAUACUGCAAUAACUUUUUGUAUCAUAAAACCAUAUAUUUUCCCUUUUAUUGUCUAGACUCUCUUUCUUUUCAAAUAUGGUUUGGACUUUAGAGCAAGAGAUUUGCUAGUCAUGACUCGACAUAAAGAUUGUCUCCUCUUUCCUUUUCUUUUCAAUUCUUCUUUUUUAUAUUUCUAAGGAAUCCGAUAAGAUAGAAUGUUUAUUUUCAAUGCGAUGUAUUUAGUUUUUUUAUUUCACGCUAAAUAAUUAUAUAAAAUUAUAAUUUUAUGUUAUUAUUAUCUCUUUUCAAUAGAAGAAUGAUAAAUUAAUUUUUUUAAUAUUUUUAAUUCAAUUUAAAUUUUUUUUAAAAAUAAAAAAUAAAACUUAAUUUAUCAUUCUUUUAUUAAAAAAAUAAAAAUAAGAUGAAAUAAAAAAAAUUUCAUUUUAGUUAAGAAAAAAAUCCGGCUCCGACAAAACCAAGUUUGAAAUCGGAGGGAAGGGGGGGUCAAAUCUAUUAGACCCGAGGAACCCAAUCAAGAGGGGGUCCGUACGACCAGAUUGACAUGAUGAUGAUGGUGAUGAUGAGGAUGAUGUGUGUGAUGUACAGCUGUGAUUGUAGGGUCCCUCUUCCUUCCCCCACCAAAUUUCCCAUUUAGGCAAAGACAAACCCCACUUUCCCUCCUUUGCCUCUGCCUUUAUACCCUUUCCCCAUUCACCCCCCAAAUAUUCUUCUUUAAUCUUUUCUCUUCCUUUCUUUAUUUUUUUCCUUAAGCUUUUUGUUAAUCACUGCCUUCCUCUGAUCUUCUUCUUUGCCACGUCACCCUUCCACAUUUCACUCCUUACUAAUUUUGCUUCGGCUCCGCUCAGCUUGGCUGAAUUUUAUAAUUUUUUUAGGUUAAAAUAUUUCAUAAGUCCAUGUACUAUUCGUAAAUUUAAAAUUUAAUCUAUGUAUUUUUAUUUUUAAAAAUUAAGUCCUUCUACUUGUUAAAUUUUAAAUUUUAAGUCUAACAGCUAAUACUAUUUAAAUUAUCAUUUUUAAAUUUUAUCCAAAACUAUUCAAAAAUAAAAUAAAUAAUGCAAAAUUAGUAAGAUUAAAAUUAUGAAAUAGUGAAUUUUCAAAAAUAAAAUUUACUAUUAUCAAACAAAUUAAUUAUAUUCAAUUUCUUUUACUAAUGUAUCAAAUAUUCUAUAAUAUAAAUUCAAUACUUAUAAAAUUAAAUAUUCAAUAUUCAAUAGUUAAUUUUUCAACACUUAAUUUUUUCAGUUUAUCAAACACAUUCUAAAACUUUAAUUUUUUUAGUUUAUCAAACACACCCUAAAACUCUUGUCAAGCACCCGUUUGACACAUUGUUAAAUCUUGUCACACUCAUACCUCACCUUAAUAUUAUAAUAAAGAAAUGGAUUCUUAGAUAUUUAUAUAUUCAAAAUUAUUAUUUAAAUCCCCAUUUUAUUUAUGGAAAAAAACAAAUUCUAAUAUUCAAAUUCACUAUUUAUAUAGUUGUAAUUUAAUCUAUAUUUUUAAGGGUAAACUAUACCAUUAGUUAUUAAACUAUAGGUAAGUUUUUGUUUUGGUCAUUUAACUAAAAAAAAGUUACAAUUUGGUUAGUGAACUAUUUGCAAGUUUUCAUUUAAAUCACUGAACUAUUUAAAAGUUUUUCUUUAAAUUAUUGGAUUGUUAAGUUUUUAUUAAAGUUUUGCUAGUGAGCUCCAAGCUACGUUUUGGCGAUGAGUACAGUGGAUUAGUACCCAUCAACUAGUAGAAUAACUUACCUUAAAUUCAAAUCGAUUUGACAUUCAAUGUCGAAUAUCGAAGAAAAAAACUGUUUGAAUUUUAAUUCAUAGAUUCGUGAAUUCCAAAACUAUUUCACGAAGAAAAGAAAAAAACUAAACUAUAAAAAAGAAGGGAAAAGAGAGCUUUCGAGUAGUGCAUGUAGUGCAAACAGAAAACGCCGUAUAACAUCGAUUUUAAUAACCUAAUAACUCAAAUAAAAAUUAUUUAAUAAUUCAGUAACCAAAUUAUAAUUUUUUAGUUAAGUGAUCGAAACAAAAAUUUAUUCAUAAUUUAAUGACUUGGAAAAAGAAAUAAAUGAAAUUAAAACAACAUUUUAAAGAAAAAGUUGGAAUAGGUAUUUGAAUAUAAAUAGAGUUGUUUCAAUGUUGGGAAACAGUAGCCAGUACAGUUCAAAGGUCAAAAACUGAAUCAAUCAGUCAGAAUCUAGUUCGAAUAGAUUAAAAGUUUGAUCUUAUAUAUUAUUCUUAACUAAUGACAUUUAAUUUAUGGUGAGAAAUUCUCACUUUACAAAAAAAAUUAUAUUAUUUUAGGAAUAUUUUUAUUGUUUUACAUUUUUCAUAUAAAAAAAUAAAAAGAUACACAUAAUAAAAAUUUAAUCAUACCGCUUUAAUAUACAACAAUUAUACUUUACCAUUAAAACAAAUCACCGUUUAUUAUUUAUAUAUUUAAUAAAUCUAAAAAAAUACAUAUGAAAAUACUAUUUCUACCAAAAAUACAUUUGAUUUUAUAUAUUCUUUUUUAUAAAUUUGUUACCUAAUAUGCCAUAAUCUAGUGGAAUAAAUACAAGUAAGUCAAACAUAUUUUUAAUUAUUAAUUAUUUUUAUAAUUUAUUCUAUGUUAAAUAUGUGCGAAACAUUACAAAAAUAAAAGAAAUUAUUAAAUGGAUAGUAGAUUGUAUUAUGUAGGUUGUAUUAAAUAUAUAUAUAUAAAUUUAUUUUAAAAUAAAAUGAACUUGUUUAAAAGUACUUAGUUGGUAUUUGAAUUUUUUUUACUUAGUUGGUACUUGAACUUCUAUUUUGCCACUUAAGUUGGUACCUCCACACUAAUACUAUUAGUUUGUGUUGAUGUAUCACUAAUCACCAAUCCGAUCGUAACACAUGACAACUUCUUAGAAUGAUAUGAGAUAGACAUAAAUUAAAAAAAAUAAAAACCCUUAACAUAUAUAAAUUAAUUAAAAAAGUAUAGACAUUUUUUUCACAUCAAUAAUGAACCUGGAUAUAUAUUUUUGUCUAGAUACAUUUGAAGGCAUUUGUCCAUAUUUAUUCUAGAUAUAUUUUUUUAGUAUUUUUAUAUAUAUUUUAUUAUAAAAUAUCAAUUUUUUGUUAUUAUUAUUUUUUAAAAAUAAAAUAUAUAAAACGUCUAAUAUUUUGAAAAUACAUAAAAAAUUACAAUAUAUGAAUAUAUAAAAGAACUAAAAAUUUAUUAAAAAAAUAUAAAUAUAUAAAGGAACUAAAAUAACACAUGGUUGUUCAAAUGCAUUUGAGUUUAGACAAUCAUCUAUCUAGGUUCAUUGUUGAUAUAAAUUUUUUUUAUUAAAUUAUAAAUUUCAAAAUUUCAAAAAAAUGAUAAUAACGUUUUGAUAUUUUAUAAAAAAUUAAAAAUAUAGAAAUUUACUAAAAAAAUACAUCUGAAAUGAAUCUAAAUAAAUAGGUGUCUAUAUUCAGAUGUAUUUGGAGACUAGACAAUCAUUUGUUUAGGUUGAUUCUUGAUGUAAAAAAUAUAUAUGCUUUUCUUUAUUAAUUUUUAUAUUUUAAAGAAUUUUUUAAUUUAUGUUUGUCUCAUGUCAUAUUAAGAGGCUGUUAUAAGCGAAAGUACAAUUUAAUAGUGUUAGUGCAGAAGUACCAAUUUGAAUGAUGAAAUACAAAAUCAAAUACAAACUAAGCAUUGUUGGAUAAGUUUAAGGGGCAAAGUGCAUAGUACCCCUUUUAAGAAGGGUAACAAAAUAGCGCAAGGUAAGGAACCUUGCUUGGAGCUUGGAAGGCGCGAAGUGGCUUUUGACUGCAACCCAUUGAUCGCCAUUGUCAUUUUGUAUUAUGGUUGCACCUCUGAAGAUGAGUUAUUGAGAGUUGCAUUUCGUAGAGUUGUCUUAUAGCUCCUAAUAUGGGACUAGGAGUGAUACUCUUGAAGAUGAGUUCAUUUCAUGCUUUCCAUAUUGACCAUGGGGUGCAGGUGCAUGUUGUAUAGAAGCUAUCUCAUGUCUGUUGAGUUAAUUUCAUUGUCUUGGAGCCAUUGGAAGAUCUAAGAAGGUAAUGAGGAGAGAUUGAAAGAAUCAACAUGCAGAGGGAGAGGGGGAGAAAUCCAAACCAUUCAACUCUAGCAAAGUCACAUUGAAUGAACAUACUUUCCAAGGAUUCUGCGUAUUUGUGGCAUAUAGGACAGAUGUUACCUGCACCAAUGUUGCGUCGAUGAACGUUUACUUUAUUGGGGAGGCAAUUGUUGCAUAUUUUCCACGGGAACAUUAGAGCCAAAGAUGUUCCCAAACUUUAGCACUAGAAAUUGGAGAGGGGCCACUAGCAGAUUGAAAGUUCCAAAGGAGUCUCCUUGCUUGUUUUAUGCUAGAGUAAACAUUUUUGACAAUGAAGAUGCUAUUGUUGUUAUCUAGUCUAGUACUUAAAUGUUAGUAUUAUAUACAUAUACUUUUCGAAAAUGAUUGAUUUGUUGGAGUGGAAGUGUAUUAUUAACUCUUAUCGAGUGUGGGUUUUUGUUAUUUUUAAAUAGUAAAUUAAAAAUAUAUAUUAAGUUUUUUAAAGAUAUUAUAUAAAAUAUAAAAAUAAAAAUAUUUGUUUAUUUAAAAAAGUUUUAGGAUUUUAUAUAGUACAGAUUUACAGUAAUAUUUAUAGAUUGUUUUUUAGAAAUUUUUAUAAAAAUGAAAUAUAGAGAGCGGAAGAAAAGCAAAUAAAAAAGGUGGAAAAGAACAGGGCAUAGGACGUCAUUCAAGUCACAACCAUGCUUUGAAAGCAAUGGCUCAGGCGCUUAGCCGCUUAAAAGGUGAGAGCAACAACGCAACAUUAUUUACAUACAGGCAGAGGCAGAUGGGGUAGGGGCCAAGCCCCCAACACCAUCCUUUAUCCCAUCCAAAAAUUCACUAGCCAGGUUUUUGAUUAAUAAUAAAUUUGGGUACCUUAAAAAUAAAACCAGACUUCUCAGCAGGUAAAAUACUGCUUAUUUUCACUUCAAGGGAUUACAGGUCAAACCUUAAAAAGAUGCAUUAGACUUAACUCCAAUGUAUAAAGCUUCGAAUCCGGUAGUCCUAAUAUUUUCUUCUGAAAUUUUUUAAAAUAGUUUUAAGGUUAGAGUUUUUAUAAAAUUGAAAAAGAAAAUAGAAUCAUAUCCUGGGUCAAAAAAGACAAAGUGGAAGGGCACUGCAACACGCGUCGUUUGAUCAGUUUCUGGGCUUUCGUAUAUCUCAUCAUCUUCGUGUAAUAUUGUGACAAAUGGAGACGAUGCAUUGGUCCUCAAUCUACAUAUACUUUUAGUAUUACAAAUGUACAGGAGAGAGAAAGUUAAACAUGAAUUUAGUGAUGAAAGAGUGAUGCAUGUUGCGGUAGACUCGGAUCCUGUCUCCCAUCAAAAUGGUCCAAACAAAGUCCUCUCCUACGCCACCCACACCCCACAUUUUGACUCUCUCUCUCUCUCUUUCUAAAAAAACCUAAUGGAAAUGGGUGAUCAGUACGGCCUGCCUGAUUUCCAGCGGCUUUUAACGAGGAGAACCCAUUUUCCGGCAUCCCUGCUGCCCCAACCUUCUGACUCGCCUUACCUUGCUCAUCAUAGGAACAUGGCUCUAUCACCACCUCCUUACCAUGAACCACCCUACGUGUUGAGCAAUGGGAAUAUUGCAAUGCCUAGUGGUUUGCUUAGGUUUAACACUACUGGUGCCACUGAUUUUACUGCUGCUGCUUCAGCUUCUGCUGCUGUUGGUGGUGGAGGAUGGAGUUUGGGAAAUAUCGACGGCGGAAACAGCCGGUGGCCGAGGCAGGAGACUCUUACUCUUCUUGAGAUCAGAUCUAGACUUGAUUCCAAGUUCAAAGAGGCUAACCAGAAAGGACCCUUAUGGGAUGAAGUGUCUAGGUAUAUAAUAUAUUUACUAUAAUUGCACUAAACCCACUUCAGUCUUCUUCUUCAUCUUUCACUUGGAUUUCCAUUUUUACAUCAUGUUUUUGUUUCAAUUUCAUGACAUAUGGUUAAUCAAGAAACCCUAUUUAGCCUACCCAACUGAAACCCAUUUGGUCUUUCUUUUUAUAUGAAAAGUCACCCCAAGAGUUUUCUAUAUAUAAAAAAAAAAGAUUUUAAUUAAAUUUCUGAUUGAUUGAAAGUAACAGAGCUGUGAGUUAACUCAGAGAUCCAGAUGUUUCUUUUACUUAAAAAAAAAAAAUCACCCAUCUGUUCACAACUUCUUAAACUAAAGAUUAUCUUGUUUUGCUAAAAUGGUUAAUCCCUUGCAUUCCUUUACUUCAAUUUCAGCAACUUAAAAUAAUAUUAAUUAAUUAAUUGUAAGAUAUAUAUAUAUAUAUAUGGAAAGGAAUGUUUUUGGAAUAUUUUAAUCCUUAAGCUAUUAGAGGAAUGUUGGGAUACAUUUAUUCUUCUUUUUGAGACAAAAGAAGAUUAUAUCAAGGAAAAUGUAGAGUUAGAUUUUGUUUGAAGUUUUGGGGUUAGGUUUCUUCUUAGGGUUUGUAUUCCACAUAUAUAAUAACUUAUACAAAUAUUAUUAAUUAACUUUUUACUGUUGAUAUUUUAUAUUUCAUCUUGGUUUAGAAUAAUGGCGGAGGAAUAUGGAUACCAGAGAAGUGGGAAGAAAUGUAGAGAGAAGUUUGAAAACCUUUAUAAAUACUAUAAGAAGACCAAGGAAGGUAAAGCUGGUAGGCAAGAUGGGAAGAAUUACAGGUUUUUCAAACAGCUGGAAGCCAUUUAUGGUGAAACAAGCAACCCAAGUCCAGUCCCAGAAACUAACAACAUUAAUACUGUUCCAAGCAACCUGCCGGAGAAAUAUCAUGAAUCCAUGCAAGAACAGAAGAUGAGCGAGAGCCUCGGUUUCUCCGACCCCGAAUUCGAGGCUUCCUCGUCGGAAAAAAUGAACGACGACGAAUGCGAGCUUUCGGGUAUUGCUUCCAUGGUGAAUCAAAAGGGUGUUAAGAAGGGUUGGAAAACCAAGGUGAAGGACUUCGUGGACUCACAGAUGAAGAGGUUGAUCGAUUCACAGGAUGUUUGGAUGGAGAGGAUGUUGAAGGUGAUUGAAGAGAAAGAAAAAGAAAGGGUUUUGAGAGAAGAGGAAUGGAGGAGACAAGAGGCUGCUCGGUUCGAUAAAGAACAUGAACUCUGGGUUAAGGAAAGAGCUUGGAUUGAAGCUCGGGAUGCUUCUUUAAUGGCGGCUUUGAAGACGUUAAGAUCCUUGACGGAUAAAACCCAGAACGAGAUCAACGCCAACAGAUGGACCGAGCAUGAAAUCUUGGAACGGAGGUUGCAGGAAAAUGGGUAUUCGAUGAGGCAAAGCACGUGGGAAGACAUAGAAGCGAAAAUGGUGAAUUUGGGGUAUGGUUAUGAACAUGAAGCAAACAAUGCAGAGUGUUACAAGAAACGGAAAGAGGAUUACUUGAGCAGCUAGACUCCAUUGAUGGCCAAGAAGAAAAUAAGAGCGUUUACGGCGUGAAACAAAGGGUAAACCAGGCCGCCGCCGCCGCCAUGGAUUCAUCAUCAUCAUCAACAUCAAUUCGUUUCAGAUAUCAGCAGUAAACAGGUAUGGAUUGAAGAUGAUGAGAAAGGGAAAGAAUCAGCAAUUGUCUUCUCUUCUUAAAUAUUGUACUAGUAGUAAUGUAGAUGUAGGAGGUGAUAUUUGUAUGGUGAAUGCAUGAGAAUUAUUUUGUGUUUAGAGUUUCACUUUACUCCAUAAUGUGAAACAAUGGAUUCAUCUUUGUAAAUUAUAAACAAUGGAUCCAUACUGAGUUAUCAACAUUGAUUUAUUUUCCUUCAAGCUUGCCCUACUCUAGUUGUUCCUUCAAUUACCUUCAAUUCAUCUCAUGUUUUGAUCUUCAAUUUAAAUUUUAUUUGCUUUUCUAAAUUUUGAGAAGAAAAUUGUAGAUUAUAUAUUUAAAAUGUAUAAAAAUUUCCAAAAACUUGUACAAAUCCAUAAGUUUAAAAAUAAUAAUAAAUAUUACAUUACAUCUUACUAUAUUUUAAAAAUCCAAAUUAUCCAUUGAUUAAAAGAUAUUUAAUAAAAUUUUAAAUCCUAAACCCUAAGAGUUGUUUAGAUGAAAAUUUUAAAUUUUUUGGGAUUUUUAGAAUGCUUGCAUUUUAGAAUUAGGCUAGCAUUUUGAUUUAAGAAAAAUUAAGUUAUUCUAAUUUUAUAAAUUAAAAAUAAUUAUAAAGAAAAAUAAUUUUAUUAAAAAUAUAUCAAUAUAUUUGUAAAAAAUUAUAAAUAGUUUUAAUAAAAUAAUAUUUACAGAAUUAAAUAAAAAUGAUUUUAAAAUUUAUGUUUUUUUAUCUUAUAGUGAGAUCAUGUGUAUUAAAUCAAAUAAAAAGGAAUUUUGAAAAAUAAGAGUGAAAUUUAGAAAAGGAAAUUAAUUUAUUGAAAUCACUUCUUGAAAAUUUUAAAAUUUUCUCAUAUAAGCAAAUUCAAUUUUAGAAUUCUGAAAAUAUUAAUACAACAAAUUCUUCACCCAAACAUAAAGUAAAACUAUAUAUUUUAGAUUUAGGAUUAGAAUGUUAAUGUUAAUAUGUUUCUAAAAAAUAGUUUUUAAUAAAAUAGUUGUAUACAAGAGGUUGUUUAGGUGCAUGGGAAUUGAAAGCAAUGAAGGAAAUGAGAAUGGUGGAAGCCAUGGUGACAAAAACUAUUUACAUUUAUUUAUUAUCAUUCAUUACUCUCAGUACUUCAACUACUGUUUCCUCUUAAAAUAAUAUUUCCUUUUUCCCCAUAUUUUUUUCAACUUACUGUUACUUAAAUGGGGGAUGAAAACAAAUUGUGUGAAUAUGUUAAAUGUACAGAAACUGAGUGUACUAUAAAACUUUAUUUCUGUUUUCUUUUCUUACCUUUCAUAUUUGGUAUUCUCCACAAUUUUAAACAAUUGAUAUAAAUAUAUUAAUUUCAUUUUGUAAAAACAAUUUUUUUUAAAAUAUAAAAAUAAAUAUCGAAAUGGGUUAUUUGUUUGAAACUUUUACAGUAAACCAUUUUGGUUUUUAAAUUUUCUUUUUUGGAUUAUUGUGGUAAAAGAACUACAUUGUACAAAUGUUGACAGGGACGAAGCCAGGGGGUCCCCCUAAAAUAUAAAUUUACCCUUUUGGUUCUUAAAUUUUUUUAAAAAUUUUAAAUUAGUAAAGGUAAAAUUGUACUUUGGCCCCUCCUAAAAUUAUAAAAAUUCGAUUUAAUUCUUUACAAAUUAUAAAGAUAUAAACUAUAAAAAAUUAAAAUUUUAUCUGCCCCCUAAAUAUUUAUUCUGGCUUCGCCCCUGAAUGUUGAAUAUAUGUUAUGUAAUAAAAAAAUGUUAUUGGGAUAAAAAUAAAAAAAAUAAAUAAAUGAGAUUGUUUUGAAAAAAUAUGUGUAAAAAUAUUAGUAAUUCUUCAAAAAAAAAAAGUACAAAAUUCACUCUCCACCAUUUAGAUCGUAUUUUUGCACAAAAAAAAUACCAUUGCCGCUUAUCUCUCUCCCUCCACCCUUUUAAAAUAUUUUUUUAUACUGGUGCCGCUCAUUCCUUCCCCUCCACCCUUAAAAAAACAUUCAUUCUAUAAUAAUGCUUCAAUUAUUGUGUCAAAAUGUCACCAAUCUCUCUUCCUCCAACCCUUAGAAUCGUUUCAAACAUACCAUUUCAGUAUUUAAUUUUUUUAAUUUUUAUUAUACAAGUAAAAAUGCCCGUUUUUGAACUCCGAGUGUACUAAAAUAUUUAAAAAUAAGAAAUACAUAGCAAUUUUUCCUUAUGUCAAUAGUUAAGGAUAUGUUGUUUUUUAUUUAAAUAUUAGUGGAGAUUGAUAUGGAUGCUAUUAUAUUAUUUUAAAAAUAUUAUAUAUAUAUUUAUAGUAUUUUUUUUAUUUUUUAAUGAAAUUUUAUAUUAAUAUACAUGUUUAUAUAUAAAUAUAAAAUUUAAAAAGAUUAUAUUUAAUUUCUAAUAUAAUUAUAAAAAAAGAGAGGAGCUAAAACCCAAAAUUUUAGAAAUGAAGUUAAAAUAUUAAAAUUUAUAUAAAUCGAUAUAGAUUAGUAAUGAUUGAAAUACAUCAAAAUAAUCUAAAAUUAUAAUAAAAAUAAAAGUUAAAUGUAGUAUGGAUUUUAAAACUGAAAUGAGUAGCAGUCUGGUAUUGCCAAGAAAACUCUUUGUUGGAAGUUAAAAUGUUAUGUAGGCUUCAUAAAAUUGUAGGACUACUGCAACAGAUCUCUUGAUCUCAACAGUCGCCCAGUCUAUCAUAAUAUUGAGAAUACAAUAUUUCAUUUGAUACUCAUCCUGAAAUCCAUCGCUAGAUUAUAUUAAUAUUAAAAAUUAACUUUUUUUUUCAAUCCAAUAGAAUAUGAUUGCCUGUAAAGUUAUUUUUACAACAUUUAAUAUAUUUUGAAAGAUAUUAAAAUCUCUAAAAAUUUACAUUGUCCCAUUUGGUUCAUUGAGUAUUUUUUUAACAAUGUAAUGAUAAUUUACUAAUUUAUUCUUAUUAAAUAAAAUAUAACUCUAAAUAAAAUUAAAUUUCAAAAAAUAAAAUAAAAUUUAACAUACCAAACUAAAAUCAUUCAUUAAUAUAAAAUACAUUUCCUAUAAUAGGUAGAUCUGUCAAGUACUUAAAACACAGAACAAGGCUUUUUGGAGAGAGAAAAGGAGAGCUACCAAAACUGCCAGAAACCAUCUAAUACUGAGGAUUAAAAUUACACCAAAAACAUCCAACUUUUGACAUAUUUACAAAUAAUCCACCAAAGAAGAACCAAGGGAAAAUAAUCCACUUUCACAACCAGAAGAUCUUUGCAUCAACUCACAAACAAACAUUAUUCAAGGGUUUGAUGGGCUUUCCACAAGCUUCUUUCUUGGUUCUUUAAUGUUGCCUUCAUCAUUUUCGAUUGUACGGGACAUGCUUUCCCCCGACCCCAGAUUUCCAGUUGCAAAUGAAUUCUCUUGGUUUGGGUCCAUCUCAGGGCUCUCACUGGUUCUUGAGGGAAAUCUGUGCCCUCUCAACAAACAGUUGUACGUAUGCAUAUUAAAAGAUUCUGUGCCAAAAUGAGAACGAUCGGCCGAACUGAACAACGGUUGCAUCAACCUUUUCUUUUCGGGCAAUUCACGCAGCGAUAUUCGGCAAACAGGGCAGGUGGAAUGCUGUUGCAGCCAUAGGUCUAUGCAUGUUACAUGGAAGGAGUGCCCGCAAUACGGGAGGAUUCGCAACACAUCUUCGCGGCGGUAUUCAGAAAGGCAAACCGUGCACCUGCCACACGUAGCAAUUUGACAUUUUCAUUAGCUCGGCUCUAAAAAGAUGCCUCAAGCAAUCUAACUGAAGAAAAUAAGUAAAAAGUUCUAAAAACAAAAAUAUCGACGAAAUAAAAUAAGAACCGCGAAUCUUCCAUUAACAGAGAGAAAGACGGAGACGCAAGAACACUUCAAAUUGCAAUUCUAAAGAAAUACAUUCUGUCAUGCGGAAUCAUCAAUUAGAUUAUCAAAAACAUCGUGACCCAAAAUGAUGCCUCAUUCUUCAACCAUACUUAAGAGUUUUGCUCUAUAUUGCUCGGGCUUUUCAUUUUGUUGAAAUAUCUUUGUCAGAAACUCGUGUUCAACACAUUUCCGGACAAGGGUAGAGGAUAACCUAUCCAACAAUCACACCGAAAUCUGAGUAACAUUGAUUUUAGUCAUCAAACACUGUUCAGGCAUGACCAGAUCCCAUUUAUAUUCCUAGCUAGCUAACAGCUUCACUUGCUUCCUGGACCCACCAAAUACCUAAUACCAGAAGUUUGACGUGUAUUGCUAAGUAUAAAACUUAUAGAGACUAAUAAAGAAUUUGGGUGCAGUUAUGUCGGGAUUAAAUCCUUUUCCCUACUUCAGAUCAAAAUCAAAAUAGUGUUCAGAUAAAUCACCAUCGGGGAUGUUCCACUAGGUCCACUCAUGCAGCACAGAAUAAGAAAGAGGGGGAAAUAGAGGUGAAAUAAGAGGAACAUAUACAAUCCAUAAUAUCUCUAUCAUCCAAAAGCUUAAAUAGAAAUGUCCAAACCAGAAAACCUGAACUUGAAAUACCUUGCAUGUGAAAUGACACGAACUUAAAAUCAGUUGAAUUGCCACCUCUAGCCCUUCCCUAGUCAUUUAGAUUUAGUGGAAAUAAAUAAAUAAACAAACAACUGCCUCCACUUCUUUUUGAUGGAACCAACCUCCACUUAAAACGACAAUUGGAGGCAUUUCCAUCCAUUAAAAGUGGAGAAUGUCUUAGCUCAAAUUCAAGGUAGUGAGCUUAGCAAUUAUUGUUAUAAAUAAAUUCUUCAAAACCUUCUUCUUUUUUCUUUGUAUAGCAGGUCAAUGACUGCUUAAAAAAGUUAGAUCUAUUAAUAAAAUAAUGCUAUAAGGGAAACUAUCAAGAAUAUGUUCUUCAACACUCCUUUAAUGAAGAUGACGAUAUAAUUGGAAAAUAUGGAAACCAGAAGUUUGCUCAAUGUCUAAUCCAAACAACAUUUUUCCGAGCAGUGCUCGUUGCGGGGAAAGCAUCUUCCAGUAAUUUUUCCCAUCUUCCAACAAGUCUCUAUUGCCUAGUCUUUUAUUGAACAUUUCAAAAGAACAAUUAACAGUGGCUACAAGCACUAAAAUGUUAGAAGGAUCAAAUUAUAAUUGAAAACAUGGCAUGUUUGUAGCACAAAAAAGUAAAAGAUGAUAGAACAUGCGAAGGCAGUCAAUAUCUAGGUCUGACAAAACCCGGCAAGUCCAAUGUUUCAAAUAUAUCAUUAUCUCUACCGUGGCAAGUGUUUGAAGUCUUACUUGAACUUGCAAACUAAAACUCUAUUCAAUUUGGGGAAUUUGAGAUGCCGGAUGAGAAACACUUCACAUCUGUACAGCUGUGUGAAAACUUCCAAAUCUUAAAAUAAUAACAAAAUGUUAUGCAACAACUUAAAAAAGCCUCUCCUUAUUGCUCUUUAAUCUUUCUUUAUUGGGACCCUAAUGCACCUUGGCAUCGGAAACUAGUUCACAAAGCAAAUAUGACUGGUCAUAGCUCAUGCCUAAAUCUUCUAAACUUCUAACCAGCAAGGGGAAAAAAGAACUUUCAAGUGCAGAAAACUUUAGCUAACAUUAGAAAUCUAGCACUAGCACACUUUGUUGCUCUGACUAUUCAUUUUUCUAGACGUAUCCAUGUUUGAUGCAUAUCCAGACAUGAUAAUAACGAAAUCUGUACAGCAGUGUGAAAACUUCCAAAUCUUAAACAGAAAAUAAUAACGAACUGUUAUGCAACAAAUUAAAAAAGCCUAGACUUAUUGGUCUUUAAUCUUUCUUUAUUGGGACCCUAGUGCACCUUGGCAUCGGAAACUAGUUCACAAAGCAAAUAUGACUGGUCAUAGCUCAUGCCUAAAGCUUCCCAACUUCUAACCAGCAAGGGGAAAAAAUGAACUUUCAAGUACAGAAAACUUUAGCUAACAUUGGAAAUCUAGCACUAGCACAUUUUGUUGCUCCGGCUAUUCAUUUUUCUCCAACUAUUCAUUUUUCUAGAAGUAUCCGUGUUUGAUGCAUAUCCAGACAUGAGCAUGAGGAUAUAAUCCUCCAAGAAUCCUCAAAAUACAUAGAAAGAACUUAAAAAAAAAGAACAUACCCAUGUCAGCACAUGCCUAUAUCCAAUACUUCCCCCAGAGUCUGAGUAACAUAGUUAGCAUAGGUGAGAUAUUUUAUUUGGAAACAGUAAACAACAAAGGACAGCAUGAAAGAAAAGAACUGUGCUUUCUAGGAGUAUCCUGUUUUCCAACUAUUUUUUGAUUAUGGGGCAUUAAGACAUGGACAUUUAUGUUUUCUGGGUUCAUAUUUCUCCCACUGGUUCAAUCUCUUGUUUCAGAAUUUCUGCUCUUUCACCCUAAAUUUCUUUCCUCUCUGUCAUAACCCCAAUCGUAUUUGUCUCUAUUUUUCCUGCCUGUUGUGCAUCAUGUGUACAACAUAUGAGACAGAACAUACAUUUUCUAAGGUUUACAAGUUUUUCCGUGGUUUCCAACACUCAAAGAAAUUUGUGCAUGAGCGAAAACAUGCUCCAGAAAUUUAGUAAAACAAGAACCUUUGUAUCAUCUGGGGAAACCGCAGCAAAGAUCAAACCACACUGUAGAUAGGCAAAACUAAAAACAAAAAUAUCAUUCUUUUAUGUCUACCUUGGAAUUUAUGCACAGACAUUACCGAUAAGAAAAGCUGCAGUAAGUUCACAUUAGAACCAACUAUGACUUUUAGAAAAUGUUAAGCAAUGGUUAAAAGGAAUAACUUGUAUUGAUGCAAAGGCACCUGGUACUAUCGAUAUGCCUCGUGGUAAAAUGAAUACACUUUACCUACAAUCAAGGUUCAAGUCUAAAAAAGCAUAAACCAAAAUUUCUAAAAAAUCUCAAGCCAUUUCAAAUGACAUCCAUUUUCUUUGCCAUACAAUGCAUUUCACCAUAACAUGUCAUCACUAUAGAAUCAAUGUAGCAAAUUUUGACAAAUUCCCAGAUAUUCAUACUAUUUAUAUACAUAAACACAAGGAGGAAACUACCUAUGAUUUCAACUCUCUCAUCUAUUUAUCUCCCUCCACUUAUGCUUUAUCGUCCAUUCUAGAUUAUCUCAUUCACUGCUCUGUCCUAUUUUACUUGGAUAUGAGGGAUGAUAUGAGUAUUCCUCCAACACAUGUAUGUUAAUUUUUUUUUCUAAGUUUCCACGAAUUUGGAUUUUGGAAGAUGGGUCAUAUCUCUACGCCAUACCUACACAUGACAUGAGUAAUCCAAGAAAAAGGAAGAGCCAGAGCUAGGCUCUGUCUCUUCUUGCAUUGUUAUUUAACCCCAUUCUUUGCAGAGUCCAAUAGGGCACAAACUAUAACCAUUGACAAUUCCAACAUCUUCACUACGAAUAGAAAAGUUAUUACACCCAAAAUUAAUUACUGACUUGCAAAUCUUAGGCAUCUAACACUCUUUUCACGAAAAAAAGAAAAAUUAAAGAGAAAUGAUCUUCAUAAUGUUAAAUGGUAAAGAAAGAUGCAGUAACUUCUGAAAUGAAGCAAUGGUUCUGAGAACAUACUGAGCAUCUUUGUUAGCUGAGAAGCACUCAUCACAGAAAGUCUUUGUUGGGAAAUUCGCAACAACAACAGGCUCAAUACCAUGUAAACCCCGUUCGAGCUGCAAAUACAAAAUUCAACAUCAAUAAUGAAGACGGACCACUCCAUAAAGGUGAAUGCAACAACUGAAAAGAUAAAUUACAUGAAAAUGGCAUAUAUUUACUGUUAAAACUUUCUAAUUUUCAUCUUUGCCUUGUUGGUUGUAACAAAAUGUCAUUCAUAUUAUGUACUGUGUUGCUCAGACUCUUUAUUUUUUGUUCUUGAAAUACGAAUAUAUAUCUGGAUAUCAGUAUGGGGAUAUAAUCUCAAGGGCUCUCUAAAUACAUGGAAAUCUAGGAAAAAAAAAAAUUAAACAUGCGCAUGUCGACACAUACCCCUCUCACAUGAGUCCAAUUAUCUUGGUGUACUGAUAACCACUGCUAUACCUAAAAUUGACAAAAAUCUUCUCCUUUCAACUUUUAUUAUUAUUAUUAUUAUUAUUAUUAUUAUUAUUAUUAUUAUUAUUAUUAUCUUCCAACUUUUAGUUCACAUAUCAACCAAGGCAUUGAAGCGUAAAAACCAAAAAAAUUCUUCAAAAUCAGUAAAUCACUUCUAAGAAAUUUUCUAAAUCUCCCAAAAUUUAAUUUUCUGUGGAAACCAUUUUAGAAGUUUAAAUGCAGAAGUAAACGGUUUCAGCUAUAAUUCAUACAGAAAUUCAAAUUUUCAGAGAAGACAUGAGAAAAUAAAAGGACAAAAAAAAGAGUCAAAAUUCCCAAGAAAGAAACUUAAAAAUCUUCUCUUGAGUACCCUUAAAUUCCAUUCUUUUAUUAUUAAAGUUGAAUACCCAGUAUGAAAAGAAAAGAAAAGAAAAGAAAAUGACAAGCAAUAUUUACAUCAGAAAAAAAAACGUUUUUUGAAGAAUCUUUAUUUUUCAUCAGUAAAAUUGAACACCCAAAAAAACCAGAUUUGUUAAUAAACCAAACACACACAAAGAAACAGAACACAGCACAGUUCUGGAAAUCUAAGAAUUAAGGGAGAAUCAACUUUCCUUUAAAAAGAAAGGAAAAAGAAAACCAUACCAUAUUAAGAUCAGAUCUUGAAGAGAUUGCGAAGGGUCUCCGAGAAGCACGUAGCUGAAUACGAGCACAAAUCAAACGUGUACAAAUAAACACUAUGAACAUAAUACUCACUGUGAAACCUAUAACAGUCAUCACCAAAUUUAGCCUUCCUGAUAUCAUUUUUCUCCUCUUUUGAUUAUAUAUACUCUAAGGAAAAAAAAAAAAAACUUCGUUUGACAGCAAAGAAAAUCAACUUUUCCAGCUUAAAACAAGAAGUAGAAACGAGACUGAAGCAGUUGAAAGGCUAUCCAUUUUGAAUUGACAGUGUUUAAAUAUGAAAUUGAAGGGGUUGAGUUGGAGUGAGAAAUUGAAACAAGGAGUGGGAGGGCUUGAGGUUGGAUGACUGUUCCAUUGUUGGGAACAGAGAGGGAAGAAAAGAAAAGACUUUGUUGGGUACAAACACUGAGAAAGUGAGGGCUGCAAGAGAGAUUAUCAGGUUAUUUGUAGAUUUAAAUCUUCCAAGUCUAAUCUUGGACUCAAAAAGGAAGAAAGGAAAGUUGAAAACUGAUCCAACUACAAUCUGUUGCUGAUUUUACCAACAUCUAUUUAUUUACUGUUGAUGGGGUUAAUAUGUAAUUUGCUUCAAGUUUAAUGGUUUUAAAUAUUUAAACAAAUUAUUUAGUAUAUUGCUUAGUAAAUUAUUUGAUACAAGUGAUGUUGGAGUUGACAAAUACCCUAUAAUCUAUAGUAAACUAUUUAAAAAAGUAAAUAUUUUUUAAAAAUUAAACACCAAUUAAUUGUAUAGAAUAAAAAAAAUACACUCAAUGUAUCAAGUACCGAUUGAGAUUGAGUCUACCAAAUACACAUUGUUUAAAUAAAAAUUGUUGCAAUAUGUUUGGAUUGAUGAUGUAAGUGUUCACAAAAUGUUUCUGUUUCCAUUUAUUUUUCUUUAAUUUCGUGUAAAUCCUUUAGUUGGUCAUCUAACUUUUAAUGUAUUUUCAUUUUGGUCAUUUAAAAUGAAAUCUUUGUGAUUUAGUCACCUAACUUUUAGAGCACUUUCAUUUUAGUCACCUAAGCGUUAAAUCUCUAACGACAGAUAACUGUACAUGCCACAUCAUUUUUACUUUUAUUUUGGUCACCCAACUUUUAGGUCACUUUCAUUUUGUCACAAAAAAAAAACCAUUUUAAAAUAUUUAUUAGGGUAAAAAAAAUAAAGAUUAAAGUGAAAAGGCAGUAGCAACUAAAAUAGUACGCAACUUUUGUCAAAUUCUACUUAUUUAUCUCAUUGCCGAAAAUUCUAAAUAUGGUUUUUGAAAUAUAAAAUUUUAUCAAAAUUCAAAAUUAUAGUAACAAAUCAGUUAACAUUAUCAAUGGAUAAAAAAUUUUCAACAAAUUAUUUAAUUUAUUUUGGUGUUUUGAAAUUAUUUUAAAAAAUGAUCAAUUAAAUAAUGAAAUUUCUAAUCUUUUGGUUACAUAGGUGGAAAGAAAAAACUACUUUUGGCUAGACUAAAAGUGAUUGAAAAGAAGCUUGAUCGGUAUUCGUCGAAGUUCUUAUUGUAUUUACAAAAAAAACCAACUUAGAUUGAAACUAGAGGAUGUGCUAUCUCAAGAAGAGAACUUGUGGCAACAAAAGGCUCGAUGUAAAUAGGCAUGCGACAGUGACAAAAACACUAAGUUUUUUCAUGCCAAUACUAUUAAUCGAAGAAGGUUGAAUAAAGUUAGCAUAUUAAAGCUUAGUGAUAACAAUUGGUGUGAUGAUUAAGAAAUAUUGCAAAAUAUGGCCAUUCAGUUUUAUAUAUCCCUAUUCACUAAGGAUUUAACAAUUAUUAGUGGCUUUUCUCUUUAAGGUCAGUUCUAUAAGAUGUUUGUUGUUAAGAAUGAAUCUUUGAAAGCCACAAUAACUAACGAAGAGAUACAUAGGGUUGUAUUCGAGGUUGCACCUUUAAAAGUGCCUAAAAUUGAUGGAUUACACACAAUCUUUUAUCAGAAAAAAUGGCCAAUGGUUGGACAUAGAGUUUGCGAAUUUGUGAGGAAUAUCUAGAAUAGUGGUAAAUUCAAGAGUUGGAUCAAUCGAGCACUCCUAUUUUUUAUUCUAAAGAUGGAGAAUCCAAAAAAUCUAUCCCAAUUUCAGCCAAUCAGUCUCUGCACGAUGCUGUAUAAAAUUAUGACUAAAGUCAUAGUUAAGAUGUUAAAACCCUUGAUGUAGAAUAAGUUCUACCAAAUCAAUCAAGUUUUGUCUUUGGAAGGAAUAUAACAGACAACAUUAUUGUUGCUUAGGAGGUCAUUCAUACUAUGCGUAGAAAGCAGGAAAGAAAGGAUGGAUGGCUAUUAAAACAGACUUAGAGAUAGCCUAUGACACACUUUAAUGGGAUUUUAUUAAGGACAUUUUGGAGGAUAUUGGUAUGCCAGAUAUGUCUGAAAUCUUAUUAUGUAACACCCCAAACCCGGCCCAGAUGUUAUGGCCGAAUCUGAUGUGCCACAUUGGAGUUGAAAACCCACGUUCCGUUUUAGUGUUUUAAAACUAUAUAUUUUGUUGAGUUAACAAAGUGUAUGGAAGCUGGGCACCAGGUAGGUAUCCGAGACAGAAGAGGUGAGCCAUGAGGGCUGCUUAAGUACCAAGCUCUUUGAUUGGAUCCAAUCCUAGACAUGCCCACAACCAUAGCCACACUUUGUUAUAUCGAGUUUAAAUUUGUUUAAGUGGACGUCUUUGAUAAAUCGAUUAAUCGUAGUGUUGAGAUAUUUUGAAAACAAGUAUCGCUUUGAAAACACGUCCUAAGUCUAGCCCAUUUGAACAAUUAUCAACCAGGUUUGAAGUUAUUAAAAAUAAAAUAAUCCCGAGAAGAAAUAAAAGAAAAGUUAAAAUGGCCUUAUUACAACCCAAAAAUAAAUAAUAAUUAAAGGAAAUUUAAUGAAAACCAACGUUUGUUUAAAGCCAAAAGACGAUCACCAUGGCUACUCUGAAUCCCCUCCGGCUCCAAGUCCCCACAUCAAGGCUCACCUGCAAGGUUAAGGAAAGGGGGUGAGUUUGGAAACUCAAUGUGCAACAAGCCCCUUUCAGAGCCCAAAACAAUGACAGCCUGUUGGGUCUAAGCCCAAAUCCAAUCUCAAACAUGUACUGGGCCAUAGCCCUUUUCAUAUUUCAUAUUUCAUAACACUGGGCCAAAGCCUUUUCAAAUUUCAUAUUACUGGGCUGUAAACGGUAUGACCCACAGGCCCAUUUCAAUAUUACAUAUAAUGUCAAUGAAAGAAUGCAAGCCCAAUUGGGGAGACUACUCAACCCACCAUCCGCUACUCUCCACCCGUACCAACCAACACACCAUGUGGGGAUUAACUCGACCCACCCCGCCAUAACUCUCCACUGGCAGCAUAGCUGCUUUAUCAUAUAACUGGAGGCCUAGCCUCUUUUAGUAACUGGGGCAAAAGCCCUUUUUAUAACUAGGGCAUAAGCCCUUCAUCACAACUGGGGCAUAAUCCCUUUAAUAACUGGGGCAUAAGCCCUUUAAUAACUGGGGCAUAAGCCCUUUUGCACUUCCUCUAUCCAUAUAAAAACCCAACCCAAUGCAUUUAUGAAUAUCUCAUGUGCAUAUCAUACAUAUCAUGUGCAUAUCAUACAUGUCAUGUGCAUAUCAUACAUAUCAUGUUUAUCAAAAUCCCAUGCAUUAAGUUCAUAUAUAAACCCUAGGGGUAUAAUGGUCAUUUUUACAUAGGGGCAAAACGGUCAUUUUCAUAUUAUAAGGGUAAUUCUGCAAUUUUAUCGAAAAUUAGGGAUUUUUCCAUGUUCAUCAUCAGUUACUAACUAUUCAUUUGUUUAACCGCGUUUCUAGCCCACUUUUAACGAAACCGAGUUAUUGAGCCUAAACCCCUAAUGGGCCCUACUUAGCCGAUUUUGUCAUCUAGGCCCAUUUAGCCUAUAUCCAUAAUAGUAUUAAUAGUCUUAACAAGCAAUUUAACAGAUUUCCAUUUUCUACCAAUUUUACCCAAAUGGGCUCGAAAGCCUAUUGGGCCCUAUUUCAGCCUCUCGAGGCCCAACUUACCGUGAACGCCAAAAACACAUCCUUACCGUUUCCAUUGUUCCCGAUCAUCAUCUCAUCGAUUCUAACUAACUAGUGAGCGUUCGCUUGCUCACAAGUCCUCGAAAUGCCAGAAUUUCGGUAUUUCAGCUUUUCGGCAUUUAUCACUUUAAGCUAUGAAAAAGGGUUCGUUACACACCUGAUUUGCGAUAUUCCUUGACGAGAUCUCCUAUGCGAUUUCUCUUAUAAUCAACCACUUAUAUAUUAGACCAUGUUAUUAUUAAACCAAAUCGAAAACUACCUAUUAUCAUCACUUACACAUUCGGCCACCAUCCACAAUGGCCCUUGGGUUCAUACCUUUACCUAAGUUGAUGACUAGAUUUAGUCACUUCGAUGAUCCAAGCUUUUCACACACUCCUCGAUCGGUAGCCUUUAAUCCUCACUAGCACCAACAAACCAAAUAACACCAAAAACCCUUUUAGCCUUAGUCGACAGAGGGGUUUUCAGCUUUUCUUAAACCACAAGAUACAAAUGGAAAGAAGGUUCGAAUACUUACCAAGAGAUCUACUCGUUGAAGAACGUUCUAAAUACCUUCCUACCCCAUAUCCGUUGUGAAUCCAACUUAAACUUGUGUAGAAAAUAGAUCUAAAUAUUAAUUCCCGAAUCACUAAAAUAUGAAGCUUUCGGCUUUUCAGCAAAUAUUAAUCUAAGCUAUUACGAGGGUUAGUACACACCUGUUACGGGUUGAAGUUGAAACGUUUCCAUAAUCAAUCACCUACGAUAACCACCACCUGUCACUCAAACUCAACUAUUCCAAUAUCAAUAUAUGUAAAUCCUAAGCACAUCAGUCAUACGGAACAUAAGGGCAUAUUCGUUAUUUUACCAUACAGGGGUAUUACGGUCACUUUACCCUACAGGGGCUUUACGGUCUUUUUACCUGAUAGGGGUAUUUUAGUCAUUUCAUCCUACAAGGGUGUUUUGGUAAAUCUACAAACCGAGGGUAUUUCAGUAAUUUUGUAAACCAAUGGUAUUUCUAUAAUUUUUAAAAAGUCAAGGGUAUUUCUGUAACUUUGUAAAUUAGGGGUAUUUUGGUAAUUUUAUAAAUUGAGGGUAUUUCGGUAAUUUCACAAACCAAGGGUAUUUUGGUAAUUUUACAAACUAGGGGUAUUUUGGUAAUUUUACAAACUAAUGGUAUUUUAGUAAUUUUGUAAAUCGAGGGUAAAACAGUAAUUCUAUAAAUCAAGGGUAAAAUAGUAAUUCUAUAAAUCGAGGGUAAAACGGUAAUUCUGUAAAUCAAGGGUAAAACGGUAAUUCUGUAAGUCGAGGGUAAAACGAUAAUUAUGUAAAUCAGGGGUAGAACGAUAAUUAUGUAAAUCGGGGGUAAAAUGGUAAUUUUGUAAAUUGGGGGUACUUUGGUAAUUUUACAAGUCGAAGGUAUUUCAGUAAUUUUACAAAUCGAGGGUAUUUCAGUAUUUUUACAAACUAAGGGUAUUUCGAUAAUUUUAGUAAACUAAAGUAUUCUAAACAUGGAUAACAAUACUAAUGGCUCUAAAGCCCAUUCUCGGCCCAAAUGGGCCCACACGCUCGUGUGGCCCUUUUAGCCCAAAUCUAGCCACAAAUAUUAGAUUCACCUAGCCUAGCCCAAUAUUUACUACACAAUCAAACAACUUAUCCAAUUGGGCCUGUAGGCCCAUUAGGCCCACAUGACCCCUUUCGACCCAUCGCGGCCCGAAGUAGCCAUCCUACAGCUAGAGUAGUAAGAAAUACACACCUGAUAGGAGACUGGAGUUAAUCCACACUCCGAGCACUCUUAGCCGACGCCCAACCCAAACGAGCACGCCAUACAGCGAAAGGGAUCAGCCAAGAAAGGUAUCUCUACUCUCCUCAUGGUUCUCUCUAUUUAAAGCCAGCUUCGCAUCCACUCUUAUGUUAGCUUCCCGAUGUGGGAUCCCUCCAACAUUAGAGUUUAAAUUCAACACCAACUCUUGCCGCCCCCUGUUAGCAAAAUAAAUGCUCCUUGCUUGCCAUGGGAUUCGAACCUAUGCCUCCCCUUAAAUGCUCCACACGCUACUUGCCACUAAGCCACAAGGCUUUUUGUGUCAUAUUUUAUCCCCAAUUAAUUAUAAGGUCUAAAGGCCAAAGUCCAGGUUCCCUUUAAAAACCCAAAAUAAAUUGCAAGAGCCAAGGCUUGAACCCAGGCUCCUAUACAACCUUAAUGACUCCACAACCACUAGACUACAAGCUUCCUUGUGUCAUUUAUUUAACACAAUAAUUUAAAAACCCUCAUCCAAGCAUCCAGGUUUUUUUUU